rnacentral:ncRNA from 1 species
CCGCCCCGGAAAGCGACGAUGCAUUCGUGCCUCGGCCUCGAGAGGCGUAGCUAGACGGCCGCGUGGCCGUGGAAAGAGCCCGAUUCCGACCCGAGAGGCCGCGGCAAGAGGCGGCCUCGAAGUCGGUGGAUCCUCCUGCUCGAAAGGCGGGGUGCUAAACCAUUCGCAGACGACCUAGUUGAAGAUCGGGGUGUCGUGAUCACUAGAGCAGUACAUCUCACUGCGAUUUGUUGAGAGUAAGCCUCAAGAUCUGUCGGUUUGU